rnacentral:tRNA from 1 species
GCCGAAAUAGCUCAGUUGGCAGAGCGUUACACUAUAGGUCGGAAGGUCCCUGGUUCGAUCCCGGUAUUUGGUA